rnacentral:rRNA from 1 species
AUUGAACGCUGGCGGCAGGCCUAACACAUGCAAGUCGAGCGGUAACAGAAAGUAGCUUGCUACUUUGCUGACGAGCGGCGGACGGGUGAGUAAUGCCUGGGAAUAUGCCUUGAUGUGGGGGAUAACUAUUGGAAACGAUAGCUAAUACCGCAUAAUGUUUUUGUUCAUUACGAACAGGAACCAAAGAGGGGGAUCUUCGGACCUCUCGCGUCAAGAUUAGCCCAGGUGAGAUUAGCUAGUUGGUGGGGUAAGAGCUCACCAAGGCGACGAUCUCUAGCUGGUCUGAGAGGAUGAUCAGCCACACUGGAACUGAGACACGGUCCAG